AACAGCACAAACUCAGAGAGACCUACAAUUAUGGCCUUCCAACCUCAGCUGCUUCAGGGAUAUGAUUUUCCAGAGUUCUGCUAAAAACCCACCCACUCUUCCUAGAAGACUACACCACAGGCACUGAGACUGUAAGAAAAAUGGCACUUAACCCUAGCUGUUGACAGACUGAUGGAUGGAUCCACUCACACAACACAUUAGGUAUACUGAGGAAUUAGCUGAAAAAAUGGCAACAAUUCAAAAGGCUUAAGAGGAAGACUGUCUCCAUACAAACUCUUCAUUCCCAGCAGAGCAGAGUAGACAUGGGUAAUAGAAUUUUCAGCAAACUUUUACUAACCACUCCUCGCAGACGGAGAAGAAACUGGAGUUUUUACUGGAGCUGGUUCUUUUUCAGGAAGUGGUGUAUGAGGUGGUGUAGCCAAUGGAGUAGACACCACAGACUCCUGAAAAAAAAUAAAAGAAGAAAAAGACACAUCAUUGAAAGUCCAGGAACACUGAGUGUUUUUUCCAUUUAAAUAUGAUCUCCUGGAACUCUUCCUAGCAAGCAAGGGCACUUGAAAAACCUUAUUUGAAGAUAACUUGAUCAGACUCCCCAGUGUCAGAAGUCAGAAAUCCUGACUCAAGGUACAACAAGAUGCCUUCAUUCAGUGAUCAAAUGUUUCAAUCUGUAGCCUGUCAGAAUUAGUCAUUCCUCUCUCCACCAAAAGAGGAAGCAAAUU